rnacentral:rRNA from 1 species
GUGGAUUAGAUACCCUGGUAGUCCACGCCCUAAACGAUGUCAACUGGGUGUUCGGGAAGCGAUUCCUGGGUACCGUAGCUAACGCGAGAAGUUGACCGCCUGGGGAGUACGGCCGCAAGGUUAAAACUCAAAGGAAUUGACGGGGACCCGCACAAGCGGUGGAUGAUGUGGAUUAAUUCGAUGCAACGCGAACAACCUUACCUACCCUUGACAUGUCCGGAACCCUGCUGAGAGGUGGGGGUGCCCGAAAGGGAAUCGGAACACAGGUGCUGCACGGCCGUCGCCAACU